rnacentral:lncRNA from 1 species
CCCCGCCAGAAGAAUGUUUUAUACAGGUGGACACCGUUUUACUCACACCCUCCCCAUCUGAAGGUGAGUAUGUCACACUUGGCACCACCAAGCUAUCGACGCCCGCGUGUUUCGAGCCCGGGCAACUUGGGCGGAAUUAUCGCCCCCUUACCACCAUUUGCUUGGUGCCUAAUUUUUAGCGGUGCAAAGCUCCUGUCUGAUAUUUCGCCGAUGAGCGGCAAAAGUGAAUUUUGUGAGAAAAACAGGCCCGCGAAUCAAUUUUGCAAGGAGAGGACUUUAAUUUUUAGAUUCAUAUAUGGCCUCUCUUCGACCAAAUUAUCUUUUUGUAUAUGUAACAGCAUGUUUCCUCUAUACAGCGGUCAAAAUACAUACGAUAAUAAAAAUCAAAACUAGCUUGAUGCCGAACCAAAUCCGGGAACAACGGCUGCAGCGACGACGAUGCACUCUUGAGAUUAUUGCCGUGUGUUGUAACUUUAAAAUGGAAGCAGAAGAAGAGGGAGAAGAGAAGGAGGAAGAAGAAGAGAAGAAGGAGAAGGGAAGGAGGAAGAAAGGAGGGGAAGACGUGGGAAAAAAUUCUUAAUCUUUUAUUAAAACCCUAAUCAUGAAAAUAGUCCCCUAUAUAUAGGGCCAAAUAAACACAAUUAACAUAAAACCCCCUUACACAAAAAAAUAACUCCUACUAAGCCCACAAAUAACAUAAAUAAGCCCUAAAAUGCAAACAAGCCCAGAAAUAAAAAUAAAAUAAAUAUACAAAUAAACGAAUCUGACUCAAUCCGGAGGCUCAGGAUCAUCUGUAUAAAGGGCUCUGAUGUCUCCAUCAACUCCUCUC